CGCAGCAGGCGCGAAACCUUUACAAUGCACGCAAGUGUGAUAAGGGGAUCCUCAGUGCUCAUGCAUUGCAUGGGCUUUUGUUAAACGUAAAUAGUUUAGCGAAUAAGUGGUGGGUAAGACUGGUGCCAGCCGCCGCGGUAACACCAGCGCCACAAGUGGCAACCACGUUUAUUGGGCCUAAAGCGUCCGUAGCCGGUUGGGUAAAUUUCUUGUGAAAUCGUCAUGCUUAACGUGACGGCGCGCUGGAAACACUGCUUAACUUGAGACCGGGAGGAGUCAGAGGUAUUUCAGGGGGAGCGGUAAAAUGUGAUAAUCCCUGGAGGAUCACCUAUGGCGAAGGCAUCUGACCAGAACGGAUCUGACGGUGAGGGACGAAAGCUAGGGGAUCGA
rnacentral:rRNA from 1 species